rnacentral:misc_RNA from 1 species
GUGAAUCAUCGAAUUUUUGAACGCAAAUUGCGCUUCCUGGCAUCCCGGGAAGUAUGCCUGUUUGAGGGUCAGUAUUAAUAAAAAAUCGGUUUAGUUACAAAUUGUGAGGUUUCGGAAGUUUGGGCUAUCUUAACAUUUUUGGUUAAGAGGCUUAAAAUUGACCUUUUUUGUUCAUGUAUAUAUGUACAUAAAUUUAUGUAUUUGAGUGUUCUUAAUGCCAAAAUCUUAUUAGAUUCGAUC